rnacentral:rRNA from 1 species
GACGGAGGAGGAAAGCGUUAUCCGGAAUUAUUGGGCGUAAAGCGUCCGCAGGUGGCGAUUCAAGUCUGCUGUCAAAGGUCGGGGCUUAACCCCGGGAAGGCAGUGGAAACUGAAUAGCUAGAGUGCGGUAGGGGCAGAGGGAAUUCCCGGUGUAGCGGUGAAAUGCGUAGAGAUCGGGAAGAACACCAGUGGCGAAAGAGCUCUGCGGGGCCUGCACUGACACUGAGGGACGAAAGCUAGGGGAGCGAAAGGG